CCGAUAAGGGCUGAGGGAAGCCUGGCACCUUCACACAUCCCCCUGCGCUGGUGGGCGCUGGGCCCCCGCGGCCCCUCCGGGGAUUGGCCACCCACGCGGGGGCCGGGGGAGGGGGCGGCUGGACCCCCGCAGACCCGGCAGAAGCCGACACGUCGGGGGACACAGGCCGAGCAGGAGCAGACUGAGCUGAGGAAUGGGGCGGGGGGCCCGGCGGCUGGGGCAUAGAGCCCCCCGGAGACAACACCUGCUCCCCGGAGGGGUCGCCCUGUGUCAGCUCAGCCAGCCAUUCCCGUGGCCUUGUGACCGCGCGGCUGAUUUUCCCUAGGUCCACAGAUAGGGAAGCGGGGCCGUGAGGGUGAGCUCGGUCCCAAGCUGAGCCGCGGGGUUUGUCACCCGUGUGCCCGGCGCUGGCUGGGCCCGGCACCCCCUAUCCUGACGGCUCGUCCUCCAGGGCUGUGUUCUGACGGACUCCAUUUGAGAGCAGGAUCACCCAGGCGCAGAGAGGCCAAGGGUCUGAUCCCAGGUCACACAGCACAACAGGGAUGGCCAAACAGGAGGGGACUGGGGAGGGGGGCUGUCUGGGCACAACCCAAACACCUGGUCCUGGGAUGCAGUCCAGCCGGGGGAGUCGCAGCCCAGGGGACACGCUGGUGUAGACGGGGACCAUGGAAAGUGGUAUAAUCAGACACCUAGGAAACGGAGCCGGGGGCUGCAUGGGACUGGAUGGACACAGCUGGGCCUAUCCUCAGUCCCUGGGGUGAAGGCAGUGACCCCAUGCUCCCCAGGGGCUGGGGCGAAGGCCCUGCCCCCCAGUUCUCUCCAGGGCUGGGAGGAAGGCGGUGUCCCCACUGCUCCCCCUGUGGUCACGGGGCAGGCAAAGAGGGCUUGCACUCUGUCACGCAAGCAAACGGUGGCCCAGAGACGCCAAGAGACCGGCUCAGGCCACCCAGCUUCUGAGUGGCGGAACCAGCCCCCCACCCGGCUCUCCCACCCCCUGGCCCUCCGUGGUUCCACUGGCGCCCUUGAAAUUCGCCCUGACAGUCUGAGCACACGCCCUACUGCCCUGCCAGGCCGUCCGGGGACACUCCACCCGGGACACACUCCUGUGAAUGGGGAAGGACGAGCAGCCGUCACCUGUGCCUUGGGCAGCCCCCGUCUGGAGAGGAAGAGCACAGGACGAGCAAGAGGCAAAGAAAAGCCCGGGAGAUGGACAGCCGGGUGUCAGGGCAGAGCCCCCCCCCUACUUCCCACUCUCCACCUGCAGGUGGGGCCCCCGAGGCUUCUGCUCCCUCCAAGGAGGCAGCGUUGCCACGGCGACCACCAUCACCUGGCAACUGAGCCGCGUCCUCCCGGGCACCUGCCGUCUCUCCUCUGGCUCUGGGAAGGGACGUGUGUCCAGAAGCCCCCUUGUCUCAGAAAGCCCACCUGCGGGGACAAGACAGGGAGACUGGGGCGGGAGGGGACGGGCGGAGACCCAGCUGGGAGAAUCAGAGGUGGAACCAUACAAGAAACUAUACAAACGCAGGUUAAGACUCUCCAUAUCUCCUCUUCGGUGACAUCAUAGGGCCAUCCGUCUCUAGGUGCCGGACCGGGAGGAAACAGUGGACGUGGUUUUAACAAGGGUCACCCACCGCACGGCUCGCCCCGUGUCCCCGCUUAGCACCGCAUGUGGACAUGUGUCUGGGUCAGCGACUCCGCUCUCUCACCUCGGCCGCUGCCCGGGCGUGACUCACUGAGUGUGCCCAGAACUCUUGCUCGGGACGAAGCCCGGGCACUGGGCUCCCGAGAUCCGAGACCUUGGGCCUGAGUGGGGCUCACAGGCCGCGGGGGUAGGGAGAGCGGUGACCUGCACACCCACGGCCCAAAGCGAGGAAGGAACAGUCCCGGCUCCGAGAGAAGGGGCGGCCUUCAUGGGGCGGGGCUGAAAGGGAGGAACGGGCACGCUCCGCCCACAAACCAGAGCAGGCUUCCUGGAGGAGGCCCUUUUUUGGAGGAGAUCAGAAACACGCAUGGGAAUAUGGAAGUGAAGGCAGUGAGGGGAGACGGAGGGACUGGAUGCAGCAAGGGCCCAGGCACCCUGACCUGCCUGCUGGGGGAAGGCUGGAGGCAGGGACUCCCAGGGGCCUGGGAUGGGAGGACGGGAGGAAGCAGGGAGAAGGGGAGGCAGAACAGGAGAAACGGGGCGGGGGGGGGGGGGGAGACGGAGAAGGAGGAGGGGAGCAGCCCGCCUGGCUGAGCACUGACGAAUGCCAGGUUCACUCCACACUUAAACCACCGCCCCCGUGGGCACCGUGCUCUCCCCAUUUUCCAGGGCAGCGAACUGAGGGUCCGAGGCAUUCAGCAAGACUUCCCAAAGACAACGGCCAAUGGGUGAUGGCAUCCCGGGAGAACCCUCUCUGACUUCAGUCCCCAGAGCCCACUUCAGGCACUAGCUCGGGGCUCCCCCGGCCUCUCCCCCCACUGCUGCUCUCGGAAAUGCGUCCACUGAGGCCCCUGGCGUGCCAGAUCCCUCUGGGCUGAGUAUGCCUGCAGCCUGGGACUCUCCUAGGGACGUCUGGUUGGUG
rnacentral:lncRNA from 1 species